rnacentral:misc_RNA from 1 species
UUUUUUUUUUUUUUUUUGCAAUUUGAUCUGUGUGGAGGUUGCACGAACUCUAUCCAUCUUGUGGCAGAUGAAAGCUGCGCACUUGGUUUGCGAUUUUCAGUGAUAUGUGGAUAGUAUUCUCAGACACGUGUUUAAUUUAUUUAUCUUGUUCUGAACUGUUGUGUUCAAUGACUACUAAAAAAAAGGUGAAAAAUUAACGUUAAAAUUUCAUUCACUAUCUUGAAUUACAGAUCAAGCCCUUCCUCAAAUACUAUAGAAUGUUGACCAUAUGUGUGCAUUAACAUCGGUGUCAAGUAUUUUGAAAAUAUUUUCAGCCUUUUUUUUCAAUGAAAUAAAAGAAUUUU